rnacentral:rRNA from 1 species
UACGGAGGGAGCGAGCGUUGUCCGAAGUUACUGGGCGUAAAGCGCGCGUAGGCGGGGGAUUAAGUGAGAAGUGAAAGGCUGGGGCUCAACCCCAUGCAGUGCUUCUCAUACUGGUCCUCUUGAGGGCGGUAGAGAGAAGUGGAAUGGCUGGUGUAGCAGUGAAAUGCGUAGAGAUCGGGGAGGAACAUCUGUGGCGAAGGCGGCCACCUGGACCAGCACUGACACUGGAGGCACGAAAGCGUGGGGAGCAAACAGG